rfam:Medicago truncatula strain A17 chromosome 2, whole genome shotgun sequence.
GUGUCAUGGUCAUUGCUAACCGUCCAUAAUAUCCCUGGAAUUGAUUUGCAGCUUAUGCGGGGAUUCUAUGACGGUUAGUAGAGACUUUUGGCAU